rnacentral:rRNA from 1 species
UACGGGGGGGGCAAGCGUUGUUCGGACUUACUGGGCGUAAAGGGCUCGUAGGUUGCCAACUAAGUCGGACGUGAAAUCCCUCAGCUUAACUGGGGAACUGCGUCCGAUACUGGAUGGCUUGAGUUUGGGAGAGGGAUGCGGAAUUCCAGGUGUAGCGGUGAAAUGCGUAGAUAUCUGGAGGAACACCGGUGGCGAAGGCGGCAUCCUGGACCAACACUGACACUGAGGAGCGAAAGCCAGGGGAGCAAACGGG